AUUUAAAUAGUUUUUUAAAAAAUAGAGCUUUGUGGCAGCUCAGAUGUUGAUACUUUAGAUA
rnacentral:tRNA from 1 species